CCUGCUCCUAGAGGCUACACGGGUAUGGCUGCUGUGUUACAUGUGGGUCAGUAGGUGGCAGAGAAGAAAGAGGCUAGGUCUGACCUUUGAUCAGCUGAAUGAUCAGUAGUCUAACAUU
rnacentral:snoRNA from 1 species